rnacentral:rRNA from 2 species
UUGACCUCGGAUCAGGUAGGGAUACCCGCUGAACUUAAGCAUAUCAAUAAGCGGAGGAAAAGAAACC